rnacentral:rRNA from 1 species
UAGGGAAUCUUCCGCAAUGGACGCAAGUCUGACGGAGCAACGCCGCGUGAGUGAAGAAGGAUUUCGGUUGGUAAAACUCUGUUGUUAGAGAAGAACAGCGCAUAGAGUAACUGUUAUGCGUGUGACGGUAUCUAACCAGAAAGCCACGGCUAACUACGUGCCAGCAGCCGCGGUAAUACGUAGGUCCCGAGCGUUGUCCGGAUUUAUUGGGCGUAAAGCGAGCGCAGGCGGUUAGAAAAGUCUGAAGUGAAAGGCAGUGGCUCAACCAUUGUAGGCUUUGGAAACUGUUUAACUUGAGUGCAGAAGGGGAGAGUGGAAUUCCAUGUGUAGCGGUGAAAUGCGUAGAUAUAUGGAGGAACACCGGUGGCGAAAGCGGCUCUCUGGUCUGUAACUGACGCUGAGGCUCGAAAGCGUGGGGAGCGAACAGG